rnacentral:rRNA from 1 species
CGAACGAACUCUGGUAUUGAUUGGUGCUUGCAUCAUGAUUUACAUUUGAGUGAGUGGCGAACUGGUGAGUAACACGUGGGAGACCUGCCCAGAAGCGGGGGAUAACACCUGGAAACAGAUGCUAAUACCGCAUAACAACUUGGACCGCAUGGUCCGAGCUUGAAAGAUGGCUUCGGCUAUCACUUUUGGAUGGUCCCGCGGCGUAUUAGCUAGAUGGUGGGGUAACGGCUCACCAUGGCAAUGAUACGUAGCCGACCUGAGAGGGUAAUCGGCCACAUUGGGACUGAGACACGGCCCAAACUCCUACGGGAGGCAGCAGUAAGGAAUCUUCCACAAUGGACGAAAGUCUGAUGGAGCAACGCCGCGUGAGUGAAGAAGGGUUUCGGCUCGUAAAACUCUGUUGUUAAAGAAGAACAUAUCUGAGAGUAACUGUUCAGGUAUUGACGGUAUUUAACCAGAAAGCCACGGCUAACUACGUGCCAGCAGCCGCGGUAAUACGUAGGUGGCAAGCGUUGUCCGGAUUUAUUGGGCGUAAAGCGAGCGCAGGCAGUUUUUUAAGUCUGAUGUGAAAGCCUUCGGCUCAACCGAAGAAGUGCAUCGGAAACUGGGAAACUUGAGUGCAGAAGAGGACAGUGGAACUCCAUGUGUAGCGGUGAAAUGCGUAGAUAUAUGGAAGAACACCAGUGGCGAAGGCGGCUGUCUGGUCUGUAACUGACGCUGAGGCUCGAAAGUAUGGGUAGCAAACAGGAUUAGAUACCCUGGUAGUCCAUACCGUAAACGAUGAAUGCUAAGUGUUGGAGGGUUUCCGCCCUUCAGUGCUGCAGCUAACGCAUUAAGCAUUCCG